AUUGAACGCUGGCGGCAUGCCUAACACAUGCAAGUCGAACGCGUGGCGGACGGGUGAGUAAUGUCUGGGAACCUCCCUGUUGGUGGGGGAUAACUACUGGAACCGGUAGCUAAUACCGCAUACUCUUCGAUCGGCCCAGAUGGGAUUAGCUAGUGGGUGGGGUAAAGGCUCACCAAGGCGACGAUCCGUAGCUGGUCUGAGAGGAUGACCGGCAAAACUGGAACUGAGACACGGCCAAGACUCCUACGGGAGGCAGCAGUGGGGAAUAUUGGACAAGGGGCGCAAGCCUGAUGCAGCCAGGCCGCGUGUAUGAAGAAGGCCUUCGGGUUGGAAAGGACUUUCAGCGGGGAGGCGUUACCCGAAGAAGAAGCACCGGCUAACUCCGUGCCAGCAGCCGCGGUAAUAC
rnacentral:rRNA from 1 species